UAGGAUGGACCCGCGUCUGAUUAGCUGGUUGGUAGGGUAAUGGCUUACCAAGGCGACGAUCAGUAGCCGACCUGAGAGGGUGAUCGGCCACAUUGGAACUGAGACACGGUCCAAACUCCUACGGGAGGCAGCAGUGGGGAAUAUUGCACAAUGGGCGAAAGCCUGAUGCAGCAACGCCGCGUGAGCGAUGAAGGCCUUCGGGUCGUAAAGCUCUGUCCUCAAGGAAGAUAAUGACGGUACUGAGGAGGAAGCCCC
rnacentral:rRNA from 1 species